UACGGAGGUGGCAAGCGUUGUUCGGAAUCACUGGGCGUAAAGCGCGCGUAGGCGGACCUGCAAGUCGGGGGGUGAAAGCCCGAGGCUCAACCUCGGAACUGCCUUCGAUACUGCGGGUCUCGAGUCCGGGAGAGGUGAGUGGAAUUCCUAGUGUAGAGGUGAAAUUCGUAGAUAUUCGGAAGAACACCAGUGGCGAAGGCGGCUCACUGGACCGGUAUUGACGCUGAGGUGCGAAAAGCGUGGGGGAGCAAACAGG
rnacentral:rRNA from 1 species